UACGGGGGGGGCAAGCGUUGUUCGGAAUUACUGGGCGUAAAGGGCUCGUAGGCGGCCAACUAAGUCAGACGUGAAAUCCCCGAGCUCAACUCGGGAACUGCGUCCGAUACUGGCAGGCUUGAAUCCGGGAGAGGGAUGCGGAAUUCCAGGUGUAGCGGUGAAAUGCGUAGAUAUCUGGAGGAACGCCGGUGGCGAAGGCGGCAUCCUGGACCGGCAUUGACGCUGAGGCGCGAAAGCCAGGGGAGCAAACGGG
rnacentral:rRNA from 1 species